rnacentral:lncRNA from 1 species
UUCCUAACUUAGCAAGUCUUCCGAUUACAACCCGAAUUUUCCCUUUUUGGAACUACAAUACGAAUUAGAAAGAACGGCCUCGAAAACUACCUCACAGGCUCUUGCCGAAAAAACUGCCUUCACCGGAAUCCCUCACCGGAUUCCGGCAAUAUUCUGCUGGAAAAUGACCAUAGCCUCCCCAUAACUCCGAUUCACCUAGUUCUCGACAACCAACCAAAUAGCUAAAUCAAACACCAACCAAACACAACAUAACAACAACAACACCGUAGCUUCACAAUGUUAGAGAUUGAGCCUUACCAUCUGCUCACCCAACACACGCAUCCAAGAGCUCCUCCUUGCCAACACUCAACUUGCAGGACUUCCAAACAUCCCCAGCUGCUGCCUUAGUCGCCACCUCCACCGAGACAGCACCACAUCACCUCAGGUUCUCUCUAGCCAAACACACCAAGCCUCUGCCUUGGUCCAGUUCGACGACCGCAGCUCCACAAGUCACUCCAAGGUCCCACCGGACUCCUCACUAGGCUUCAAGGACUCACCAAAACCUGAAACACUCAUCGGAACUACCGAACGCAGGUCGCUGGAGCUGGAGCUGGGAGCUCACAACCCAGAAAAGAGAAGGAAAGGGAUUUUUCAAAUUAGGGUCCGAUUUUAUGAAACAAAGGCACAGAGAUGAAGAGAAGAGAGAGGUGAACCGAGACAUACCAUUGGCGCCCGAUGAACUCGCCGAAAAACGCUGGAAACCGGUGAACACAGUCGAGCUCCCUUCAAUCGAUUACCACCGAAUCGAGUUGCAAAUGAUGAUCUAUGAACUGGGUCUUGUAGAGAAGAAGGAGAGGAAAAGAUCAGUGGUGGUCUCAUCACCAGGGGUGGCCGGACGGCUUCACUCCAACGUGCAUCGU